rnacentral:rRNA from 1 species
CGCGGCCUAUCAGCUUGUUGGUGGGGUAGUGGCGUACCAAGGCUUUGACGGGUAGCCGGCCUGAGAGGGUGACCGGCCACAUUGGGACUGAGAUACGGCCCAGACUCCUACGGGAGGCAGCAGUGGGGAAUAUUGCACAAUGGGCGGAAGCCUGAUGCAGCAACGCCGCGUGCGGGAUGACGGCCUUCGGGUUGUAAACCGCUUUCGCCUGUGACGAAGCGUGAGUGACGGUAAUGGGUAAAGAAGCACCGGCUAACUACGUGCCAGCAGCCGCGGUGAUACGUAGGGUGCGAGCGUUGUCCGGAUUUAUUGGGCGUAAAGGGCUCGUAGGUGGUUGAUCGCGUCGGAAGUGUAAUCUUGGGGCUUAACCCUGAGCGUGCUUUCGAUACGGGUUGACUUGAGGAAGGUAGGGGAGAAUGGAAUUCCUGGUGGAGCGGUGGAAUGCGCAGAUAUCAGGAGGAACACCAGUGGCGAAGGCGGUUCUCUGGGCCUUUCCUGACGCUGAGGAGCGAAAGCGUGGGGAGCGAACAGGCUUAGAUACCCUGGUAGUCCACGCUGUAAACGGUGGGUACUAGGUGUGGGGUCCAUUCCACGGGUUCCGUGCCGUAGCUAACGCUUUAAGUACCCCGCCUGGGGAGUACGG